rnacentral:rRNA from 1 species
AGAGAAGCUUGCUUCUCUUGAGAGCGGCGGACGGGUGAGUAAAGCCUAGGAAUCUGCCUGGUAGUGGGGGAUAACGUUCGGAAACGGACGCUAAUACCGCAUACGUCCUACGGGAGAAAGCAGGGGACCUUCGGGCCUUGCGCUAUCAGAUGAGCCUAGGUCGGAUUAGCUAGUUGGUGAGGUAAUGGCUCACCAAGGCGACGAUCCGUAACUGGUCUGAGAGGAUGAUCAGUCACACUGGAACUGAGACACGGUCCAGACUCCUACGGGAGACAGCAGUGGGGAAUAUUGGACAAUGGGCGAAAGCCUGAUCCAGCCAUGCCGCGUGUGUGAAGAAGGUCUUCGGAUUGUAAAGCACUUUAAGUUGGGAGGAAGGGCAUUAACCUAAUACGUUAGUGUUUUGACGUUACCGACAGAAUAAGCACCGGCUAACUCUGUG